AUUGAACGCUGGCGGCGUGCCUAAUACAUGCAAGUCGAGCGAAGCGGGGACGGGUGAGUAACACGUGGAUAACCUCCUAUAAGACUGGGAUAACUUCGGGAAGCCGGAGCUAAACCGGAAACUUAUAGAUGGAUCCGCGGUGCAUUAGCUAGUUGGUAAGGUAACGGCUUACAAAGGCCACGAUGCAUAGCAGACCUGGGAGGGUGAUCGGCCAAACUGGAACUGGGACACGGUCCAGACUCCUACGGUAGGAAGCAGUAGGGAAUCGUCCGCAAUGGGCGAAAGCCUGACGGAGCAACGCCGCGUGAGUGAUGAAGGUCUUCGGAUCGUAAAACUCUGUUAUUAGGGAAGCGGUACCUAAUCAGAAAGCCACGGCUAACUACGUGCCAGCAGCCGCGGUAAUAC
rnacentral:rRNA from 1 species